AUACUUACCUGGCAGGGGAGAUACUGUGAUCACGAAGGUGGUUUUCCCAGGGCGAGACUUAUUCAUUGCACUCUGCUGAACCCUGCAAUAUCCCCAAACGUGGUAAACUCGACUGCAUAAUUUGUGGUAGUGUGGGACUGCGUUCUCGCUUUCCCCUG